ACACACCCAUACUGUACCACCCAGUGUUAUGUUACAUGUAUAUCUGUUUCGCCUCACCUCCCGUAGCGACCUCCAGCACUCUACGUACAUACACACGCACACGUCAGCACACAUACACUCGCACAGACUACCGUCCACACACAGACCUACAUUCACUCAGUCGUAUCUCUGAGCUAGUGUAGGUAGCUUGUGUGCCUCUCGUGGACGUGCUACUUAUAAAUCUUCUACUUAACGCUCUGUUAAGUAAAAUAACACGAUUAUAAGUUUAGCAUCUACUUAUAAAGGUAGACUGUGGCUGUGUAAGUGUUAAGUGCUCGUCGUAACUGGAUACAGACCUUCGUAAACUGGAGGUGGUGACGUGUGUGCCGCGCGCGCGUAGUCUAUGUCGUGUUGAAACGUGUGUGUGUGUGUGACGCCCCUAACACCCUGGGAUAAAGUCACCCUGGGAUAGUAGCGAC